CUCUCGGUAGCUCAAUUGGACAGAGCAUAGGUCUUCUAAACCUAGGGUUGCAGGUUCGAUCCCUGUCCGAGAGGCCA
rnacentral:tRNA from 1 species